rnacentral:rRNA from 1 species
AGUGAACGCUGGCGGUAGGCCUAACACAUGCAAGUCGAACGGCAGCACAGUAAGAGCUUGCUCUUACGGGUGGCGAGUGGCGGACGGGUGAGGAAUACAUCGGAAUCUACUUUUUCGUGGGGGAUAACGUAGGGAAACUUACGCUAAUACCGCAUACGACCUACGGGUGAAAGCAGGGGAUCUUCGGACCUUGCGCGAUUGAAUGAGCCGAUGUCGGAUUAGCUAGUUGGCGGGGUAAAGGCCAACCAAGGCGACGAUCCGUAGCUGGUCUGAGAGGAUGAUCAGCCACACUGGAACUGAGACACGGUCCAGACUCCUACGGGAGGCAGAAGUGGGGAAUAUUGGACAAGGGGCGCAAGCCUGAUCCAGCCAUACCGCGUGGGUGAAGAAGGCCUUCGGGUUGUAAAGCCCUUUUGUUGGGAAAGAAAAGCAGCAGGUUAAUACCCCGCUGUUCUGACGGUACCCAAAGAAUAAGCACCGGCUAACUUCGUG